rnacentral:rRNA from 1 species
UACGUAGGGUGCAAGCGUUGUCCGGAAUUAUUGGGCGCAAAGAGCUCGUAGGCGGUCUGUUGCGUCGGCUGUGAAAACCCGGGGCUCAACUCCGGGCCUGCAGCCGAUACGGGCAGACUAGAGUUCGGCAGGGGAGACUGGAAUUCCUGGUGUAGCGGUGAAAUGCGCAGAUAUCUGGAGGAACACCGGUGGCGAAGGCGGCAUCCUGGACCGGCAUUGACGCUGAGGCGCGAAAGCUAGGGGAGCAAACGGG